rnacentral:rRNA from 1 species
UACGAAGGGGGCUAGCGUUGUUCGGAAUCACUGGGCGUAAAGCGCACGUAGGUGGUGUAUCAAGCUAGAGGUGAAAGCCCGGGGCUCAACCUCGGAAUUGCCUUUAGAACUGGUACACUAGAGUUUCGGAGGGGAUAGUGGAAUUCCUAAUGUAGGGGUGAAAUCCGUAGAUAUUAGGAGGAACACCGGUGGCGAAGGCGGCUAUCUGGACGAAUACUGACACUGAGGUGCGAAAGCGUGGGGAUCAAACAGG